CAGAGCGAGCGCCAGCAGCGCUGCAGGAGCAGGAGCAGGAGUGGGGAUUUUACUGACGGUGAUCACCGGGCAGGUGUGUGUGUGAUGGCGAGGUCUGGUGUGAGCAGGUGAUAUGUAGGGAGGACGCUGGACGAGUGUACAGGACUCGCCACCCAACUCUUCCUCCUGUAGUUGCGUCUCUGCGUGAGGGAUGAAGCUGAACGAGCGGAGCGUGGCGCACUACGCCACCUGUAACUCUCCGCCGGAUAAGACGGGCUUCCUGUGGAAGAAGGGCGAGCGUAAUCCGUCGUAUCACCGGCGCUGGUGUGUGCUGAAGGGGAACAUGCUGUUUUAUUUUGAGGAGCGCGAGAGCCGCGAGCCGGUGGGCGUGAUCGUGAUGGAGGGAUGCACAGUGGAGCUCUGCGACUCCGAGUCCGAGGAGUUCGCCUUCGCCGUGCGCUUCGACUGCGCCCGCGCUCGCGUCUACAAACUCGCCGCCGACACGCAGGUCGCCAUGGAGUCGUGGGUGAAGGCGCUGUCUCGCGCCACAUUCGACUACAUGCGGCUGCUGGUGCGAGAGCUGGAGAGACAGCUGGAGGAGGCUCAGCAGCUCUCGCAACAGAGCAAGAACAAACCCAAAAAACACACGACGCAGGGGGGAGGUGGUGGAGGAGGAGGUGGAGGACGCCUGAAGCCCGUCCUGUCGGGACCCCCCACCCUGCAGGGACCCCAGGU
rnacentral:lncRNA from 1 species